UACCGAGUUUACAACUCCCAAACCCAAUGUGAACGUUACCAAACUGUUGCCUCGGCGGGAUCUCUGCCCCGGGUGCGUCGCAGCCCCGGACCAAGGCGCCCGCCGGAGGACCAACCAAAACUCUUAUUGUAUACCCCCUCGCGGGUUUUUUUAUAAUCUGAGCCUUCUCGGCGCCUCUCGUAGGCGUUUCGAAAAUGAAUCAAAACUUUCAACAACGGAUCUCUUGGUUCUGGCAUCGAUGAAGAACGCAGCGAAAUGCGAUAAGUAAUGUGAAUUGCAGAAUUCAGUGAAUCAUCGAAUCUUUGAACGCACAUUGCGCCCGCCAGUAUUCUGGCGGGCAUGCCUGUCCGAGCGUCAUUUCAACCCUCGAACCCCUCCGGGGGGUCGGCGUUGGGGAUCGGCCCUCCCUUAGCGGGUGGCCGUCUCCGAAAUACAGUGGCGGUCUCGCCGCAGCCUCUCCUGCGCAGUAGUUUGCACACUCGCAUCGGGAGCGCGGCGCGUCCACAGCCGUUAAACACCCAACUUCUGAAAUGUUGACCUCGGAUCAGGUAGGAAUACC
rnacentral:rRNA from 1 species